AUGGGAAAUGUUUACAUCUUUUUUCCAUUCGGAAUACACUCGGAAUACAUCGCGCAAUUUUUUAACGUUAUCAUACGGGCUUCUUAAUGGCUGAUGCAAUGCAAAAUCUCCGUAGACUUUCAAUUUUGGAAUGUGUAUUGAAAUCUGAGGCGGUAGAGGGGACGUUUGAAAACAGAUAAUCUGGACAUUUUUCAUAUUAGUGGAUGAACGUAGUUUGAGCACAAAGAAAACAGUCAUCAUGGAUGAUUUGCGCGAUACAGCGUAAGUCAUACAAUUAAGCCUCUUCUGAAAAGCAUUUGACUGUGGAUUAUAUAAAAUCUUUGGGCCCAAAGAACAUCCAGACGUUUAAAAGGUUAGGAUACAGUCAAUACAAUGUCAUGUGCUGGAGCACCAUCCACACUCUUUGGCUGCAUGAGUCUGACUGCUCAAAAGAACAAGAGGCCCUCUAAAGAUGAUGUGAACGCCAUCUACGAAAUAUAAUUCAUUUCAAAUUAACCACGUUUAGAUGCAAGGAUGGUGGAUUUCUACGUGGUAUAUUUGGAAGAAUAAUCUUUCCUUGAAGAUUUUGACGUUUCGCAUUG